AGAAUCAACGCUGGCGGCGUGCCUAACACAUGCAAGUCGCACGAGAAAGGGACUUCGGUCUCGAGUAAAGUGGCGCACGGAUGAGUAACACGUGACUAAUCUACCCUCGAGUGGGGAAUAACUGAGAGAAAUCUUAGCUAAUACCGCAUAACACUUACGAGUCAAAGCAGCAAUGCGCUUGGGGAGGAGGUCGCGGCCGAUUAGCUAGUUGGCGGGGUAAUGGCCCACCAAGGCGAUGAUCGGUA
rnacentral:rRNA from 1 species